GAUGAACGCUGGCGGCGUGCCUAAUACAUGCAAGUCGAGCGAAUGGAUUAAGAGCUUGCUCUUAUGAAGUUAGCGGCGGACGGGUGAGUAACACGUGGGUAACCUGCCCAUAAGACUGGGAUAACUCCGGGAGACCGGGGCUAAUACAGGAUAACAUUUUGAACCGCAUGGUUCGAAAUUGAAAGGCGGAUUCGGCUGUCACUUAUGGAUGGACCCGCGUCGCAUUAGCUAGUUGGUGAGGUAACGGCUCACCAAGGCAACGAUGCGUAGCCGACCUGAGAGGGUGAUCGGCCACACUGGGACUGAGACACGGCCCAGACUCCUACGGGAGGCAGCAGUAGGGAAUCUUCCGCAAUGGACGAAAGUCUGACGGAGCAACGCCGCGUGAGUGAUGAAGGCUUUCGGGUCGUAAAACUCUGUUGUUAGGGAAGAACAAGUGCUAGUUGAAUAAGCUGGCACCUUGACGAUACCUAACCAGAAAGCCACGGCUAACUACGUGCCAGCCGCCGCAGUAA
rnacentral:rRNA from 1 species